rnacentral:rRNA from 1 species
GUGGGGAAUUUUGGACAAUGGGGGCAACCCUGAUCCAGCCAUGCCGCGUGCGGGAAGAAGGCCUUCGGGUUGUAAACCGCUUUUGUCAGGGAAGAAAUCCUUUGGGUUAAUACCUCGGAGGGAUGACGGUACCUGAAGAAUAAGCACCGGCUAACUACGUGCCAGCAGCCGCGGUAAUACGUAGGGUGCGAGCGUUAAUCGGAAUUACUGGGCGUAAAGCGUGCGCAGGCGGUUUUGUAAGAUCGAUGUGAAAUCCCCGGGCUCAACCUGGGAACUGCAUUGUUGACUGCAAGGCUGGAGUGCGGCAGAGGGGGAUGGAAUUCCGCGUGUAGCAGUGAAAUGCGUAGAUAUGCGGAGGAACACCGAUGGCGAAGGCAAUCCCCUGGGCCUGCACUGACGCUCAUGCACGAAAGCGUGGGGAGCAAACAGGAUUAGAAACCCGAGUAGUCC